rnacentral:tRNA from 1 species
UCCCUGGUGGCUCAGAUGGUAAAGAAUCUGCCUCCAAUGCAGGAGACCCAGGUUUGAUCCCUGGGUCGGGAU